GCUGGGUUCGAUGGCACACGCCUGUAAUUCCUGCCAUUAGGGAGGCUGAGGUGGGUGGAUUGCUUGAGCUCAGGAGGUCUGAGCCCCAGGAAUGCUGAGGCCAAUUAGGUACCUGCAUUAAGUCCAGCACCAAUAUGGUGAUCCCCCAGGAGCAGAGGGAUACCAGGCUGCUUAAGGAGAGAUGGACUGGCCAGGGUAGAAAUGGAGAAGCCUCAGUAUUGAUCAGUAAUGAGAUUAAGUCCCUGAGUGACUGCUGUGCUUUCAAACAGGGUGACAUAGGGAGACCUAAACCCCU
rnacentral:SRP_RNA from 1 species